UUUCCGUUGGUGAACCAGCGGAGGGAUCAUUACUGAGUAACCCAACUGCGAAGCCUGUCGCUGACCCUACCACUCAUGUACCCCCGACGGGCCUCCCACACCUCCCUCUCACCCCGGUGUACACCACCCCGUGGGUCCCCCUUUGGCUUGUUCGUAGGGGGGCUUACGUUUUCCCACACACUUUAGCUGCAUUGUAGAAUGUAUUUGUUGUUUUUGCGAUCACGCAAUCAAUCCAACUUUCACCCACGGAUCUCUUGGCUCUCGCAUCGAUGCAGAACG
rnacentral:misc_RNA from 1 species